rnacentral:RNase_P_RNA from 3 species
GAAGUUCGCUAGGCCGUCGCUGGUGCAAUCUGGGAAACCAGGCACUGGAGGAACGUCCGGACUGCGUAGGACAGCGUAAGAGGUAACACCUCUCCACCGUGAGGUGAGGAUUAGAGCAACAGAGACGAGUCACCUUGUGUGCAGCACCGAAGGCGCAAGCCGGAGGUACGAGCAUACAAGGUGGGUGAAACGGGCAAUCUCUACGCGCAGCAAUACCAAGUAGGCCAGCGUUGAUGUGGUUCCGCAGAGUUGGCGGGUAGGUAGCACCGAGCCGAGUGGGCAACCCUCGGCCCAGAUUAAUGACGGUCACGCCGUGGGCAACCAUGGUGCACAGAAUCCGGCGUAUCGGCGAGCUUCACAC